AGUGAACGCUGGCGGCGUGCCUAAUACAUGCAAGUCGAACGGAGUGGCGCACGGGUGAGUAAUGUAUAGCUAAUCUGCCCUACACUAGAGGACAACAGUUGGAAACGGCUGCUAAUACUCCAUAGUGUAGGAUGAGGCUAUAUUGUAUCAGCUAGUUGGUGAGGUAAUGGCUCACCAAGGCUAUGACGCAUAACUGGUCUGAGAGGAUGAUCAGUCAAACUGGAACGGAGACACGGUCCAGGCUCCUACGGGAAGGAGCAGUAGGGAAUAUUGGUCAAGGGGGGAAACCCAGAAGCAGCAACGGCGCGUGGAGGAUGAUACUUUUCGGAGAGUAAACUCCUUUUGUUAGGGAAGCGGUACCUAACGAAUAAGCACCGGCUAACUCCGUGCCAGCAGCCGCGGUAAUUC
rnacentral:rRNA from 1 species